GUAUUUCCUCUUUUAAGAAAUUGAGAGCAAGUACCUUUUACCUGGGAAGGGGAAACUCAUCAAAUGCUAUCUGCUCUUGGGACCCAAUCCUGAGUUACUUUAUCAGAUUAACCUGAUAGUCACCAGAACUCCAUUCAAACAGAACACAGGACUGUUAUAUUUGGGUCAGUAAAGGACAAAGAUCUGGUGUCUGGACUGCAGGUGCUGUGGUAUCGUUGGAAGCAAAGAUGGAAAACAAAGCAGGAGAUGAAGGGUUCAUAGAGAUAAACUUCUUCCUAUUUUGCCUGGGAUUCCAGGUAGCAGAACUGGAGCUCAGACCUCUUUUGGGGGGAUCCUAAGCAAUACUUUUGCUGCUCCCUUCUGGUCCACAUCACAAGUCUGGAGAAUCUAAAACAAGCUGGGCAAUGAGAAAAUCUAACUCUUCAUGUGUUAUUCCCAAUAAAUCAGUUAUGACAUAAA
ensembl:lncRNA novel transcript